rnacentral:rRNA from 1 species
AGUGAACGCUGGCGGUAGGCCUAAUACAUGCAAGUCGAACGGCAGCACAGUAAGAGUUUGCCCCUACUGUUGGCGAGGGGCGGGUGGGUGAGGCAUACAUAGGAUACCUCUUUUUCUUGGGGGACAACGUAGGGCAACUUAUGCUAAUGCCGCAUACUUUGUACGGGUGAAAUCAGGGGUGCUUCAGACUUUUCCUGUCUCAUAUAGCCGAUGCCGCAUUAGCUAGUUGGCGUGGUAAAGGCACACCAAGGCAACGAUCCGUAGCUGGUCUGAGAGGAUGAUCAGCCACACUGGAACUGAGACACGGUCCAGACUCCUACGGGAGGCAGCAGUGGGGAAUAUUGGACAAUGGGCGCAAGCCUGAUCCAGCAAUACCGCGUGAGUGAAGAAGGCCUUCGGGUUGUAAAGCCCUGUUGUUAGGGAAGAAAAGAAGCGGGUUAAUACCCCGCUGUUCUGACGGUACCCAAAGAGUAAGCACCGGCUAACUUCGUG